rnacentral:rRNA from 1 species
UACGGGGGGAGCAAGCGUUGUUCGGAUUUACUGGGCGUAAAGGGCGGGUAGGCGGCCACCGCAAGUCGACUGUGAAAUCUCCGGGCUUAACCCGGAAAGGUCAGCCGAUACUGCGGGGCUAGAGUGCAGAAGGGGCAACUGGAAUUCUCGGUGUAGCGGUGAAAUGCGUAGAUAUCGAGAGGAACACCUGUGGCGAAGGCGGGUUGCUGGGCUGACACUGACGCUGAACUGCGAAAGCUAGGGGAGCGAACGGG